rnacentral:lncRNA from 1 species
GCAGGAAUAGCAAAAGGGGAUUUUCUUGUUACUCUUUAUUUGGGCUCGGAGUCCCUGAACUCGCCGUCAUUGCUGGUGUUGCUGCCCUUGUUUUUGGCCCUAAACAGUUGCCUGAAGUUGGCCGUACUAUUGGCAAGACUGUCAAGAGUUUCCAACAGGUUACAUUUCUUUCCCCCCCAAAAAAAUCAUUUGAUUGGAUAGAUAAUUAAAUCAACAAAUAUUUAUACUAUCAGGUCAUUUGUUUGUUAGUUUACAUGUAAGUUUCUAUGAUUAGCUGAAAUUAGUUGUCUGGUAGAAAUGGCAACCUGCUAUAAGUGUUUAUCAAUUACUACUCCCUCCGUUUUAAUUUGUUUGUCUGGUUUUGACUUGACAUGGUAUGUAAGAAAGUACAAAACCUUUUGAAUCUUUUGGUCUUAAAUUGAAGAUAUGUGGAAUGUGUAUGUAGUCUUAAAUAUGUCGUGCGAAAAGUUGAAAUUGAAGAGUUGCCAAAAAAGUAAAGAGAUAUUCUCUUUUAAUUAGUGUGCUUCAAUUAGACAAACAAAUUGAAACGGAGAGAGUAAUUAACUGUGCCUCAAUUAGAAAUAGAUGGUUGAGUAACUUAAAGAAAACUUGAACUUGUUACAUUUCAGAAUGGUGGUAAUUCAUAAGAAUUUUGAUCAAAGAACAUGUCUUUUCUUUUACUUUUGGGAAUUUGAAAAAGGUUUACUAUGGGACGGAGGAUGUUUUUGUACAUUUUGCUUGUGUCUGAUUGUUUUUGGUUCUGAUUAGUGUGUCGUGUUUUUAAGUUUUGGCUUUGGAAAUGAGUUUAGUUCCUUGUGGGUGAAAAAAAAAAUGAAGGCUAAAAGGUGGAGACAAGAAUUCUUAAACCUCUAAACGACCUUGACACAUAAUAGUUCUUGAUGUGGAGAUAAGAUUUGAGAUUUCGUGAGUAACUGAAUGAGUUCUUUCUAUGAGCUUGGUUGGGAAGAGAAAUUGAAGUAAAAGAAAUUGUGCUGGUUGUAUAGAUGUUUGGUCUUUUUGGUUUCUUUUCUUCUUUCAACUGGGUCAUUUCACUGGGAUUUUGCUUGCGAGGUUCCCCUCUUAUGAAUCUAGAAAUUGGUUUGUGGCAAUUGGCGUAAUAAUUAAAUCUGCACGCUUGGUUCUAGUGAUCAACCUAGGAAAUGAGGCAUUGUAUCUUUGAAAAUGCAUGUCCUGGAUAAAAAUUUUAAUGUUAUCCAUGUGCAAGAAGGAACGCGAACUAUCAGAUUACCAUAAGUUUACAAAGCAAGCUUGAACCCUUAGGGCGAGGGUUGUAAAACCAUAUAUUAAAAGAGACACACAGAGAGAGAGAGAACAUACAGAUCUUAGAUGAAGACUUCUGGAAGUUAAUUCAAUCAUCAGGCUAAGAUGCAUGUAGUUUGUAAUUUCAUUGAGGGGAAUCGGAAUUCCUUUUGAUUGUGAGAUAAAUUUGGUUCUUCAUUCGGGGGUUUCAAGUGUAUACUUUUACUAAUAAGCUCUUACCAAAGUUGAAUUGAGCAGAAUUCAGAGUUGAAAUCCUUUGAUCGUAAUCCGAAGAUGUUCAUCCUAAUUGGUAGUGCAAAUGUAUUGGUAAUGAAACAGGGUUUGUAUAUGUGCUGAACUUCCAUUAGUUUACCUUAGGAUGCUGUAGAUGAAAAGCAUCAUGAAAAUCAGGGCAAAUCAUAGGAAAGUUAUGUGGGCUAUUUCAGUGGCGGAUAGGUGUAGGGGCAGUCAGAAUUUUGAGAGGAACCUCUCUGGUGCACAUCAUUCUGUUUGGCUUCAGAAUUCCUGUAUUUCUAGCUGGUGUUUGGCGAUAGAAUUUAUUGUCUGGUGAAAUGUUACAUAGAAAACCACAUUCCUGAAUACUGAUAGAUGCCUUACUUAUCUUCCUCGGGAGAAGGUCCCAACUCAACAAACCCUAACAAAAUGGGCAGGGAUUGGGAUAAAAGGCAUAGCCUACCUCUGACUAAAUAGGAGUGAAAAGACCCAUGUUUCCAAAUAAAGUGAAUAAUGCCUGUUUCUUUUAAGGAUUUUUCUAGAAAAUUGAAGAGUUUUUGGGAUUAUUCAGUAGUUGUAAGGAAGUUCACUUCAUUUCUAUUCUCUGUAGCAUAGCUUAUGUCUGUUGUUAAGAAUACGGAGGAACAGAAAGAUAAAAAUACAAGAUCGGUCAGACCAGCCUCCACAGAGAGUCCUGGGUAGUUUGGAAGGACAAACAAUGAAGAUAAGAUGAGCAAGUACAAUUAGUUAAAUUGAUGCAUCUCUGUAAGUGUUGUUUGAUAUAAGGAAAUUGGAACGCUGAAGAGUGCUCUUCCAGCACAGAUAAUAUUUCUGUCGCGGAACCUACUUCCCUGCUUCAUAAAAUAUUGGUGAUGUCAGUAUUCGGGUUAUCAGCCUGGUUUUGAGACUCGGUCAACCCAUUGUCUGUGUGCCUUAAUUUAUGCAAGAGAGUUGUAUUGAGGGUCAGGAAUAUGGCUGGUCUCUCAAGAUAUGGGAAGAUAAGUGACUCGGAAGAUGGGCAUCUCAUUGAGUCAGUGUUGCUGAUCUCUGGAGCUUUAAUAGGGUUGCUGAUCUCUCUUGAUCUUGCUGGUUAUCCUUAGGAGUUAAUUGUGAGUCUUUCCUAAGGAUCUGGUAGGAUGGAUGAUAAAUUUAGCAUUUCGCUUGAGUUUAGGAGUUUG